CUUCAUUCUAGAAUUCACUUAAACUCUACCAAACUGCAGGCCUCACUCUCAUAGGGACAAAGCUCAUCCUAUGAUGAUUAUCCUAUGACAGGAAAAGCAGAUUAAAUGUGUCCUUAGUACCCCCAGGGCACUGAGUUAAUCAUUCACUGUUAUUCCCUUGCCGGGAAGGUGUGAGAUGUAGAAGAGAUAAGGUAUCCCAUCCAUGCUUUUCACUCUUGGAAGCAGAAUGGAAAUUCUCUUCCUUUAUGCAGAUAUAAUUAGUGGGGACUAAGUGUUUGCUCCUAAUAACCUCUAUGAUGUUAUCUGUACAUAAGGGGAUUCAAAAAGGAUGUCUUUUUUAGUAAUAACGAUGUUAUACGAUGAAAGUCAAUCACUAACACCAAAAAAAAAUCUCUAUGAUCAAUUACAAGAGUUGUUAUACAAUUCUAAUUAUGAAAAACAAAAAAAAACCAAACAGGAAAACAGGGAGUUUCAUAAAUGAUUUGAGGCUACUAUAAUACAAACACUCUGUGCUCACUAAAAUGUUAAGAAAAUUCACACAUAUUGAAGUUUGUCCAAAAAGUAACAGCAGUUUAGAUAAGCUCAUAAACAUGGUUUGCUCCCAAGCCAAAGUGUAUCAACCCAAGUCAUGUUGUUUGGAGAAUCUGAAGAAAGUGUGAAAAUUUCUAUCAUCCCCACAAAGAAGAGAUAGGAGAUCAGGAGAAUAGAGAGGAGAGAUGGGUUGUACUCAAAAAGAGCAAUGAACACCUGCCUUGUGUGCAGCAUGGGUUUCUCACAAGUGCUGACAUGGGCAAACACUCCAGGGAUCAGGGGGAAUUGGUGAUCUAGUAAAAUAUGGUCUUUAGCUAAAGGUCAAAUGAAAUUGUACUGGAAACCUUGGGGAUACUUUAAAGUGGGAACUAAAGACAGGGGCUGCUCAUUAGAGCUUUUGCUUAAGUACCAGUUUCACUUUAUCAGGGAAAUUGUUCAUUUGUGUGAAAAUGUGACCUCUGUCAGUUUGCCAAGCAGGCUGGACCCUGGGGUGAUCUCAGGCUCACGUGUGCCUGCAGAAGUUAAAGCUACCUGGGGACUACUUUCAAAGGACAUUGCCAAGGAGGUGGAAAAGGUCGAGUCAUGCUGAACAUUAAGAUUGGAAAUAGGUAAGCCAGCACAAGCCAACAUGCAGUGCAGCUCACUGUCACAGCCAGAAGGAGCUAAUUGUAUUAGUUAUGGUAAUAGUGCCCUCCAGAGGAAUUCUGCAGGAAUUCGAAAGGCAUAGGGAAAAUUAAAGGUGGUGAAGAUAAUGGAUUUAAAUACAUACUUAUAAAGCAAGUUAACAUAUUAAUCUUGCCUAGAUAAUUAAAAUAUACUUAGAAUAUAUUUUAAAUUUAGUGCUGAAAGCUAACACUAUCUUCAUAAAAAUAUCAACAAGCAAACAUGAUUUAAAUAUUUUAGGCCAUUUGUGAAUCCAUACUUAUAUUCUUGGUAUAUUCUAAAAAAUGUGAUAUGUUAUUUUAAAGUUAAAUCCAGGAAACAGUAAAGGACUGAGAUUAACGAGUUUAAAUUUGUGAUCCUGUUGUUACUUUUCCUUUGUGGUAUUUCUGAGUCUUCAGAAUUUAGUGUAAACAGUGGUAUAUUCUAACAUUAAUAUCUAGUAUCAUUGAAAUGAGGCAAAAUUAUAACAAGCACGAUCAAUUAUUGAAAGUAAAUGAAAUGGGAGACUCCAAAGCACCAGAUUAUAGACAGUAAGCCCCACUUACACCACAAAAUAUUAACGAGAUAAAAAUAGGUGAUAAAUAACUAAAUGAAAAUAAGAGGCCUCUGUGUUUAUCAUUUAAAUAUUUAUACUUUCUUAAUUUUAAAGAAUGAAUAAUGAUUAUUUCACAUAAUGAUUUAUUUUAAUUAUCAUCAAAAUUGCUUCUGCUACUUUAUUAUGUUAGACACUUAGGCAAAUGCUGGGAAAAGGGAAUUCAUAUUUAAUGAUUUCACUGCUUUUUACCUCACUCACCAUUGUUAGCCACCCAUCAUAAUGAUUUUCUGCAUUUGAAAUUGUUUCUGUAAUUUACUAAAAUAGCUAUGAAUAAUUGAAAUUUUUCUCUUGACGUUUAAUAUUAUAAACCACAAAAAGAACAAGAGUGAAAAAAUAAUAACAAAGGAAUGAGAACAACAAAUAAAAAACAGUAACAAAUAUGGUAGAUAAGUUAA
rnacentral:lncRNA from 1 species